rnacentral:rRNA from 1 species
CCGAACCCUCCGCGGCCCCGCCUCCGGCACCGCAGCGCCUCCCUCCCCGUCCCCGGAGCAGCCGCCCCCGCCCAGCAACGCCGCCGCCCGGUCCAUAGGCAGAACUUGGGAGUUGGAACAGGGCAUCAGCAUUGUCGGUUGGAGAGGCUUGGAGCUGCUUCGGCACCCACAGCAGAGCAAGCAAGAAGGCAUCAGUUCUAGAAGCUUGCAGAACCCUCGCCCGUGCAGAUGGAGAACCGAAAGAAUACCGGCCUCAGGAAGAGGAAGCUUCCGAACGAUGGGACGGUGCAGGAGCAGGAGCCUACUAUCAAGGAGAUGUGCCAAGCCCUGAAGGAGAUGGAAAGUGAGCUCCAGAACCUCCGGGACGACAACAACCAGCUCCGCGACGAGCUCCUUGGCAAAGACCGGCAGCUUGCGGAGACACGGACAGUUCUAGUUGACAGGGAGCACAAGCUUUCGAACACCCAGGCACUUCUAGUUGACAGGGAGCAGCAGCUUGCGGCCCAGACACUUGUUGUUGACACAAAGGAGUUUGAAACUGAAAUUUUGAGGCUUAAGCGUCUCUUGGCUGAGAAGAGUGACACAAAUGAUCAUACAGCUCUAGUGUCUCCUGAGACAAUAAAUGAAGUCAUACAGAAGCAAACUCCAGUUUCAUCUGCAAGGACACCAGCGUCAAACAGAACGAAUACAGUCCAGUCCAGUGUGAAAGCCAUUGCCCACCAUGGUAGCUUUCAGGAUGAAGCUAGCGAGGACUGCUGUAGAAGGGGUGUUUGCAGCUCAGGGAGUGGGACAGAUGAAAGUUCCCGUUCUUGUGUGUAUCAUAUGCUGGUUGAAUCUUUAGUUGGCAUGAAGUUUUCACUGAAGGAUGAAACAGAAGGACUCUCACUUUCAAUCCAUCAUGAAGCUACUGGUUAUGAUUUCAGCCUUACAUGGUUGGAGCAAGCGGAUGGUGGUGAAUGGGCCUACAAAUACUCCUCGCUGGGCACCCUGGAGGAGAUGGCUUUGAAGUGGAUGAAAGUGCAGGACAUACGGUUCAGCAUGGACAUGUUCCCUAUGUUCUUCGAGCGGAUAUCGAGCCUCCUCAGAAGGAAGUGUCCUUGGUAUUUCAGGAUGGCCGAAGAUGGUUUCGGUCUGUUCCUUUAGCUGCUGAAUCUUGGGACUCGUACUGCAUAGUUAAUGAGCAAGGCAAGACUGGCUGAUAUCUGGGAUGGCCAACGGGUUAUGUGCGCUGUUAGGAGGAGCCGUAACGAUGAGUUGAUGCAACGGUGGCAUGAGUUUGAAGGAAACCUCUGCGGCGGCGGCGUGCUCUCCUGGAGAUCAGUGGGCGAUAGAUCCUGCCUUCUUCCUCCUCUUUACCCCGGGUUGCAGAGCUUCUCCGUCAUCU